CUACGGGAGGCAGCAGUGGGGAAUCUUGGACAAUGGGGGCAACCCUGAUCCAGCGACGCCGCGUGAGUGAUGACGGCCCUAGGGUUGUAAAGCUCUUUCGCCAGGGACGAUAAUGACGGUACCUGGAUAAGAAGCCCCGGCUAACUUCGUGCCAGCAGCCGCGGUAAUACGAAGGGGGCUAGCGUUGCUCGGAAUCACUGGGCGUAAAGCGCACGUAGGCGGCUUUCUAAGUCAGGGGUGAAAUCCUGGAGCUCAACUCCAGAACUGCCCUUGAUACUGGAAAGCUUGAGUUCGGGAGAGGUGAGUGGAACUGCGAGUGUAGAGGUGAAAUUCGUAGAUAUUCGCAAGAACACCAGUGGCGAAGGCGGCUCACUGGCCCGAUACUGACGCUGAGGUGCGAAAGCGUGGGGAGCAAACAGGAUUAGAUACCCCGGUAAUCC
rnacentral:rRNA from 1 species